AUUGAACGCUGGCGGCAUGCCUUACACAUGCAAGUCGAACGGCAGCGGACCUUCGGGUGCCGGCGAGUGGCGAACGGGUGGGUAAAGUAUCGGAACGUACCUUUCAGUGGGGGAUAACGUAGCGAAAGUUACGCUAAUACCGCAUAUUCUCUGAGGAGGAAAGCAGGGGACCUUCGGGCCUUGCGCUGAUGGAGCGGCCGAUAUCAGAUUAGCUAGUUGGUGGGGUAAAGGCCUACCAAGGCGACGAUCUGUAGCGGGUCUGAGAGGAUGAUCCGCCACACUGGGACUGAGACACGGCCCAGACUCCUACGGGAGGCAGCAGUGGGGAAUUUUGGACAAUGGGCGAAAGCCUGAUCCAGCCAUGCCGCGUGAGUGAAGAAGGCCUUCGGGUUGUAAAGCUCUUUCGGCCGGGAAGAAAUCGUAUGGGCUAAUAUCCUGCAUGGAUGACGGUACCGGAAUAAGAAGCACCGGCUAACUACGUGCCAGCAGCCGCGGUAAGAC
rnacentral:rRNA from 1 species